rnacentral:rRNA from 1 species
GAUGAACGCUGGCGGCGUGCCUAAUACAUGCAAGUCGAGCGAACAGACGAGGAGCUUGCUCCUCUGACGUUAGCGGCGGACGGGUGAGUAACACGUGGAUAACCUACCUAUCAGACUGGGAUAACUUCGGGAAACCGGAGCUAAUACCGGAUAAUAUAUUGAACCGCAUGGUUCAAUAGUGAAAGACGGUUUUGCUGUCACUUAUAGAUGGAUCCGCGUCGCAUUAGCUAGUUGGUAAGGUAACGGCUUACCAAGGCAACGAUGCGUAGCCGACCUCAGAGGGAGAACGCCCACCCUGGAACUGAGAAACGGUCCAGACUCAUACGGGAGGAAACAGUAGGGAAUCUUCCGCAAUGGGCGAAAGCCUGACGGAGCAACGCCGCGGGAGUGAUGAAGGUCUUCGGACCGUAAAAUUCUGUAAUUAGGGAAGAACAAAUGUGUAAGUAACUAUGCACGUCUUGACGGUACCUAAUCAGAAAGCCACGGCUAACUACGUG